UACGUAGGGUGCAAGCGUUGUCCGGAAUUAUUGGGCGUAAAGAGCUCGUAGGCGGUCUGUCGCGUCUGCUGUGAAAACUCAGGGCUUAACCCUGAGCUUGCAGUGGGUACGGGCAGACUAGAGUGCGGUAGGGGAGACUGGAAUUCCUGGUGUAGCGGUGAAAUGCGCAGAUAUCAGGAGGAACACCGGUGGCGAAGGCGGGUCUCUGGGCCGUAACUGACGCUGAGGAGCGAAAGCCAGGGGAGCGAACGGG
rnacentral:rRNA from 1 species